AGAUUGGCCUGAGCAAAUUUGGUGCCGGUGGAACGAAAGCCUUCGGAGGAGUUAGCGAAAUUCCAAUGUGUGCGGAUCGGCAAAAAAUGCAAAAUAGCCCUUUUACCGUACAUUAUACAGAUACGCGCUCUUUGACUUUUUCGUAGAUCUAAUUGAGAUACACAUGAUUGUCAAUUUUUGUGUCAAUAUGACAAAGAGUUCAGGCGUGACACUCAACAAUGUGUAUUUUCACCUUAGGGGACAAGAAAAAAUUGACUUUUUUCUCCUGCCAUGGGGGGGCGCUCUUUUGGGGAGUAAAAAUUCCUUAACACAUGUGUUGAUGGCUGGACAUAGCAUCAUCCUAGAAAACUUGGAGGCCAGUGAGGACAAAAAUAAAAAGUUAUAAGACUUUUAAGAAUGUGGAUUUUUGGGUUAUCUUUGGCGCCCCCUAGAACAUAAACCGUGGGGUGCAGCGUCAUGAUUUGUACAACUUUGAAUGGCCAUGGGGUGUAGAUUGGCCUGAGCAAAUUUGGUGCCGGUGGAACGAAAGCCUUCGGAGGAGUUAGCGAAAUUCCAAUGUGUGCGGAUCGGCAAAAAAUGCGAAAUAGCCCUUUAACCGUACAUUUGACGGAUACGCCUGCACUGACUUUUUUGUAGAUCUUAUUGAGAUACACAUGUGUGUCAAAUUUUGUGUCAUUUUGACAAAGCGUACAGGCGUCAGGUGAGUUUUCACCAUAGGGGGCGCUAUGGAGCCAUUUUUCAUUUUUUUGUUUGGGCGACUUCAGAAUAUCAAAUUUUUCACCAGGCCCGGUCGUCCUGCCAAAUUUCCUGAGUUUUCGCCAGUGGGAAGUGGGCCAUUUUCCAGUUUAAAGCGGAGGAAAAAUAACGAAAGAAGAAUCCAUCAGGAACAAGAGGGCUCUCGCAGCUGCUUAGCAGCUACGCUCGGGCCCUAAAGAAACAAAGAAAAACCACUUGGGGAAUAAUAGGGCCUACGCCCGGCUGCUCUGCAGCUGGCUCGGGCCCUAAUAAUAAUAAUAACUAGGACCCCGUUGGGGCACUGGCGGGCCCGAGCUGUGUCGCGUCCCCCCCCCCAACGCGCUGCCUCCCCGUCCCAUUUGUGUCCUCUGGCCAUCGCCCUCUCUGGUAACGCCCAUCACUGCAAAGACCCUUUUCCUUCAUCGGCGUUUGCUGUUCUUCCUGCCAGUGCGUGUUGCUUUCACUUACACUUGCCACAGCCAGCCUCGUGAGUGCCUAGCCUAUUGGAUAUCACUGUCACCUACACAGGACAGUCAUUACCUUCCUAUUAAUACUUUGUUUUUUAAUUUCACAUUAAUUUCCAUAUUGUAUAAACAACUGGAAAAAACUUGAGCCCCUGCCCCUGUAUAAUCAUGUGCACAUCUCUGUUCUAGCUCUAAGGUGAAUCUUCACUGCUCAUGUUCUCCUCAGAAGCAGUCACCUCACUCCCCUCAGGUUACUGUACACAUGCACCAACUGCCUGCUUCAGGUUUGGAUGGAGCUUCAUGGUUGUCUUUUGGAGAAAUGACCAGUCAAGUUGUGUUUGAAAUAUGAUUUUUUUCAGGGGCAAAAGGAGCCUCUGCAUUCUUGUCAAAUAUGUAAAUAGCAUGUUUUUGCAGGUGCUAAAAACCAGACUCUGAGUGUGUGUGUGUGCGUGUGUGUGUGUGUCUGUGUGUGUGUGUGUGUGUGUGUGUGUGUGUGUGUGUGUGUGUGCGUUCAAGUCACAUGACAUAUUUAACCGGAUGUAGCUGCAAGACGGAGCCUCGUUGACUCUCCGUUUCAAUUUAUCUCAAAAGUGAGGACCUCAACCUAUAUACCAGUUUUUAAAUUGUGUUGAUAGGCCAAAUAAAACCAGAGUUAUGAUAAAUUAUGUCCACGAUACUUGUUUUCUGCUUAUUUUGAUCACGUUCGGCGCUCGAUCGCGCUGUAUGAGACAGGAAAACAUAGCAUGCAGACAUUAGCGACAGGUCUUACAGGCGGAAAAGGCUUGCCAAAGGAAAAAAAAAACACACACCACAACAUCUCUCCUAUUGGUGGAAAACUUCACCACAACAACCAAUCCAAAAUUAUAUGGUGACUGAUUGACAAGGGGCGGGAACUUACGUUCUUCCUGCAAUAUGAGAAGGGAGGGAGGGACUCUCAGCAGGGAUGCAGUCUGGGACACGUAGUUGCAAACCUAGCGACUUUGUUGUUAGAUUCAAUGACUUUUCAGACCCCCUAACGACUUUUUAGAAAGAAAGUGACUUUUAUCGACUUCUUCUGGAGUUUAGAGACUCUGACAUGAAGCAGGCUUUCCUUACUGAGGAGUUAGCAACGCUGCUAAGGGUGCAGAGCCACACAUGCGCUCCGAGCUCUGCAUGGGAGACUGAAGCUGACAGAGCUGCAGCAGUUAGCAGGUUUCACCCUCAGAGACCACCAGGGGUUCAUGUUGAGGCAUUUUCAGUUUUUUUUUUUUUUUUUUUGCCAUAGACACUGUCAGCACAAUCUGCAGUUACACUAACAAAAAUGCUGCAAAAAACAAAGAAUUAUGGAAAAAUUACACAUGGACUAACAUAGAGGAGGAUCUACACAAGUUUUUUACAUCAUGUUUUACAUCAUGCAUCAUUUACAUCAUGUUUUUUUGUAGUGGCAUAAAUAAAAAGUGACAUUUGUGAGACUAUACAGUGUUUUGUAAAUAAUUUUACAAAGAACACCUGGGCCAUUGCCUGCAUUUUGAUGUCAAUAGAGGUAAAUUACUAUGUUCUUUGUUAAAAAUUUGCAUAUGUUUUGAAGUUUACAAUUUUUAAUUGAAGUUUAAGUUUUAAAAACAGUUCAUCACACAUAUUUGUGGUUUUCACAGUAAAAACGUUACUUUUUUCCACUCGGAUUUUAUGUUUUGUGUGUGAAUUUGGGUCCAAUGUGUAAAUAUAGUAUGUCAAAAUGAUAAAAUAACUGUAAAUUGACACAGGUGAGGUUGUGCUGAAAAAAAUGAUACCAGGCAAGGCAAGGUAAAAAUUUUGUAAGAGGAAAUAUAAAGGUAAAAUCUAAAGUAGUCAAAAACGGCCAAUAGUGACUCACAGACUCCACAGACAAGUCCCUUUGGCGCCACUCAGUGGGCAAAACUACUUUGUCUACUGUAAUGUAUAUUUGGGUCAUCUUUGGCGCCCCCUAAAACGUAAACCGUGGGGUGCAGCGUCAUGAUUUUUACAACUUUGAAUGGCCAUGGAGUGUAGAUUGGCCUGAGCAAAUUUGGUGUCAGUGGGACGAAAGCCUUAGGAGGAGUUAGCGAAAUUCCAAUGUGUGUGAAUCGGCAAAAAAUGCAAAAUAGCCCUUUUACCGUACAUUAUACAGAUACGCGCUCUUUGACUUUUUCGUAGAUCUAAUUGAGAUACACAUGAUUGUCAAUUUUUGUGUCAUUUUGCCAAAGCGUACAGGCGUGACAGUCAACAAUGUGUAUUUUCACCUUAGGGGACAAGAAAAAAUGGACUUUUUUCUCCUGCCAUGGGGGGCGCUCUUUUGGGGAGUAAAAAUUCCUUCACAAAUGUGUUGAUGGCUGGACAUUGCAUCAUCCUAGAAAACUUGGAGGCCAGUGAGGACAAAAAUAAAAAGUUAUAAGACUUUUAAAAAUGUGGAUUUUUGGGUUAUCUUUGGCGCCCCCUAGAACGUAAACCGUGGGGUGCAGCGUCAUGAUUUGAAUAACUUUUAAUGGCCAUGGGGUGUAAUUUGGCCUGAGCAAAUGUGGUGCCGGUGGAACGAAAGCCUUCGGAGGAGUUAGCGAAAUUCCAAUGUGUGCGAAUCGGCAAAAAAUGCGGAAUAACCCUUUAACCGUACAUUAGACAGAUACGCGCGCAUGGACUUUUUUGUAGAUCUUAUUGAGAUACAUGUGUGUGUCAAUUUUUGUGUCAUUUUGACAAAGCGUACAGGCGUGACACUCAACAAUGUGUAUUUUCACCUUAGGGGACAAGAAAAAAUGGACUUUUUUCUCCUGCCAUGGGGGGGCGCUCUUUUGGGGAGUAAAAAUUCCUUCACAAAUGUGUUGAUGGCUGGACAUUGCAUCAUCCUAGAAAACUUGGAGGCCAGUGAGGGCAAAAAUAAAAAGUUAUAAGACUUUUAAAAAUGUGGAUUUUAGGGUUAUCUUUGGCGCCCCCUAGAACCUAAACCGUGGGGUGCAGCGUCAUGAUUUGAAUAACUUUUAAUGGCCAUGGGGUGUAGAUUGGCCUGAGCAAAUGU